UUUUGGGCUAAUAUCCACUUAACAGUGAUGAAAGACCCCCGGAGCAGGGAGACCCUCACUCAAGUCUCGGGAUGAUGCGACCCCCCAAGAACUCACGUGAGACC
rnacentral:pre_miRNA from 14 species